AGAGUUUGAUCAUGGCUCAGGAUGAACGCUAGCGGCAGGCUUAAUACAUGCAAGUCGAGGGGCAGCAUAGGUAGCAAUACUUGAUGGCGACCGGCAAACGGGUGCGGAACACGUACAGAACCUUCCUUCGAGCGGGGAAUAGCCCGGAGAAAUCCGGAUUAAUACCCCAUAGUAAAUUGAAAAGGCAUCUUUUUAAUUUUAAAGAUUUAUCACUUGAAGAUGGCUGUGCGCCUGAUUAGGUAGUUGGCGGGGUAACGGCCCACCAAGCCUUCGAUCAGUAACUGGUGUGAGAGCACGACCAGUCACACGGGCACUGAGACACGGGCCCGACUCCUACGGGAGGCAGCAGUAAGGAAUAUUGGUCAAUGGACGCAAGUCUGAACCAGCCAUGCCGCGUGGAGGAUGAAGGUCCUCUGGAUUGUAAACUUCUUUUAUUUGGGAAGAAAUGCAUUUUUUCUAAAGUGCUUGACGGUACCAGAUGAAUAAGCACCGGCUAACUCCGUGCCAGCAGCCGCGGUAAUACGGAGGGUGCAAGCGUUAUCCGGAUUUACUGGGUUUAAAGGGUGCGCAGGCGGAUAUGUAAGUCAGUGGUGAAAUCUUUGGGCUUAACCCGAAAAUUGCCAUUGAUACUAUAUAUCUUGAAUGCUGUGGAGGUAAGCGGAAUAUGUCAUGUAGCGGUGAAAUGCUUAGAUAUGACAUAGAACACCUAUUGCGAAGGCAGCUUACUACGCAGAGAUUGACGCUCAUGCACGAAAGCGUGGGGAUCAAACAGGAUUAGAUACCCUAGUAGUCC
rnacentral:rRNA from 1 species